rnacentral:rRNA from 1 species
UACCAGCACCCCGAGUGGUCGGGACGAUUAUUGGGCCUAAAGCAUCCGUAGCCGGUACUGCAAGUCUUCCGUUAAAUCCACCUGCUUAACAGUUGGGCUGCGGGGGAUACUACAGCGCUAGGAGGCGGGAGAGGCAAGCGGUACUCAAUGGGUAGGGGUAAAAUCCGUUGAUCCAUUGAAGACCACCAGUGGCUAAGGCGGCUUGCCAGAAUGCGCUCGACGGUGAGGGAUGAAAGCUGGGGGAGCAAACCGG